CCUCCUGCAAAUAUCGACGUAUAGGAGGUCCCGCCUGCCCAAUGACAAGUUAAAUGGCCGCGGUAUCAUAACCGUGCGAAGGUAGCGCAAUCACUUGUCUUUUAAAUAAAGACCCGUAUGAACGGUAGAACGAGGGCUUAACUGUCUCCCUUCUUCAGUCAAUGAAAUUGAUCUGCCCGUGCAGAAGCGGACAUAACAAUACAAGACGAGAAGACCCUUUGGAGCUUAAGACCCCAGAUCAAUUAUGUCAAUAACCUAAAAAGUUAAACCAAAUAACACCUGAUCCUAAUCUUCAGUUGGGGCGACUGUGGGAGAAAACAAAGCUCCCAUGAGGACUGGACCUCCCUCCAAAACCAAGAAAGACAUUUCUAAGUCACAGAACCUCUGACCAUAAGACCCGGCCACCCGCCGACCAACGAACCUAGUUACCCCAGGGAUAACAGCGCAAUCCCCUUUCAGAGCCCAUAUCGACAAGGGGGUUUACGACCUCGAUGUUGGAUCAGGACAUCCUAAUGGUGCAGCCGCUAUUAAGGGUUCGUUUGUUCAACGAUUAAAGUC
rnacentral:rRNA from 1 species